UGCUUCUCCCUCGCUAUUUGGUUAUGUUUGACUGUGUGUUUGGUGUUUUCAGUCACAGGAAGCGGUGAAGGUGUUUCCGACACACACGGAAAGAGAGAGAGAGAGAGAGAGAGAGAGAGAGAGAGAGAGAGAGAGAGAGAGAGAGAUCGCUUAUCGCUCGAGAAGAUAGAAUAGAGCGAGAGAGAGAGAGAGAGAGAGAGAGAGAGAGAGAGAGAGAGAGAGCAGCACAAGUGAAAGAAGGUUAGCCAUUAGCUACUGAAGAAAAUGGCGAUCACGCAGGAUGAAUGCCUCCCCUCGUAGAUGCUGCAAACGCGUUACAUUUCUUUAGCCUUACAGUCGGCGUUCCCUUCCACUCUGUUGCACUUUAUACUUCAAUGAGGGAACACACCCACAGAGGGAAGAACAGUGGAUGGAAGAGAGAGAAAGAGAGAGAGAGACGGAGAGUGUGACACGGAAGGAGGUUAAGAGGAUUCACGACUGCACAAGAGUGCCAGAAUUUACCAAGUCAAGGCGAAGUCCUUAAUCUAGACCACGUGCCCCCCACUCCCCCUCCCCACAGAAAGCAUAAACUGAAGGCACACACACAAACACACACACCAUUAGGAUCCUCGGCAAUGCAAACGGGGCCUAAUCAGGCUGCUGCCCGCUUUGACAAGCCCUGCCUCUUCGCCUCAGACCUGUGAGGCUGUGUUUUCUGUGCUGUGACCUUUGACCUCCCCUGCGUCAACCUGGGAACCAGAGGUCACCUGUUCUCCACUCAAGUAGAGGACACCUUCCUGCCCUGCUGGGACCAGCAGCCACUAGAGGCACUCAAAGGUACACAGUGAGGGAAAAGAACUGUCUUCUUUCAUCUCAGUCCUAAAUUAGAUUAGAGUAGUGCUGCACCUAAAUGUGCCAUUUGGGAAUUGAACAAAACACUUAAAAGGCUGUAAUAACAGUGACUGUUUGAAAACAAUGAUUAAAUGAUAUUUGAUGUUUUUGACAAAUUAUUUACUGUCAUCUAUCGGAAAAAACCUAUUUGAGUUCAGGGUCC
rnacentral:lncRNA from 1 species